rnacentral:rRNA from 1 species
UACGAAGGGGCUAGCGUUGCUCGGAAUCACUGGGCGUAAAGGGUGCGUAGGCGGGUUUUUAAGUCAGAGGUGAAAUCCUGGAGCUCAACUCCAGAACUGCCUUUGAUACUGAAAGUCUUGAGUAUGGGAGAGGUGAGUGGAACUGCGAGUGUAGAGGUGAAAUUCGUAGAUAUUCGCAAGAACACCAGUGGCGAAGGCGGCUCACUGGCCCAUUACUGACGCUGAGGCACGAAAGCGUGGGAGCAAACAGGG